UUUCAUACUAGGUACAGUUACUAGAUAAAGAAUAAAAUUAAGAGGAAUAAAUAGGCUUUACUAACCAAAAGAUGUCUUUUUUCCUUUACAUGAAAAGAUUUUCAUUUUUAAAUGAGAAUGUAAUUUGUUUUAAACACUAAACUUGGAAGAUGUAGCUCAGUAAACUUGAAAUUAUUAAUGUAAAUGAUGUGUAUUAGUUUCUCCAUCUUGUACAUGAAACAGAUUUGUCCUUUUUCUUAAGUUCUUAUACUUUACAGUUGUGAUGGUACCUUUAAAAAACAAAACUACUUAUUUUGUCUUUAAAAAUGCUUAAAUCCUGGGCUGGGAAUAUGGCCUAGUGGUAAAGUGCUCACCU